rnacentral:rRNA from 1 species
UACGAAGGGGGCUAGCGUUGUUCGGAAUUACUGGGCGUAAAGCGCACGUAGGCGGACAUUUAAGUCAGGGGUGAAAUCCCAGAGCUCAACUCUGGAACUGCCUUUGAUACUGGGUGUCUUGAGUAUGGAAGAGGUGAGUGGAAUUCCGAGUGUAGAGGUGAAAUUCGUAGAUAUUCGGAGGAACACCAGUGGCGAAGGCGGCUCACUGGUCCAUUACUGACGCUGAGACACGAAAGCCAGGGGAGCGAACGGG